UACGUAGGGUCCGAGCGUUGUCCGGAAUUAUUGGGCGUAAAGGGCUCGUAGGCGGUUCGUCACGUCGGGAGUGAAAACUCGGGGCUUAACCCCGAGCCUGCUUCCGAUACGGGCAGACUAGAGGUAGGCAGGGGAGAGCGGAACUCCUGGUGUAGCGGUGGAAUGCGCAGAUAUCAGGAGGAACACCGGUGGCGAAGGCGGUUCUCUGGGCCUUACCUGACGCUGAGGAGCGAAAGCGUGGGGAGCGAACAGG
rnacentral:rRNA from 1 species